CCUACGGGCGGCAGCAGUGAGGAAUAUUGGUCAAUGGACGCAAGUCUGAACCAGCCAUGCCGCGUGCAGGAAGACUGCUCUAUGAGUUGUAAACUUCUUUUGUACGAGGGUAAACGCAGAUACGUGUACCUUUCUGCAAGUAUCGUAUGAAUAAGGAUCGGCUAACUCCGUGCCAGCAGCCGCGGUAAUACGGAGGAUUCAAGCGUUAUCCGGAUUUAUUGGGUUUAAAGGGAGCGUAGGCGGGCGGAUAAGUUAGAGGUGAAAGUGUGAGGCUCAACUGUGGAAUUGCAUCUGAUACUGGUAGUCUAGAGAGUAGUUGAGGUAGGCGGAAUGUAUGGUGUAGCGGUGAAAUGCUUAGAGAUCAUGAAGAACCCCGAUUGCGAAGGCAGCUUACCAAGCU
rnacentral:rRNA from 1 species